rnacentral:rRNA from 1 species
GACGAACGCUGGCGGCGUGCCUAAUACAUGCAAGUAGAACGCACAGUUUAUACCUUCGCUUGCUACACCAUAGACUGUGAGUUGCGAACGGGUGAGUAACGCGUAGGUAACCUGCCUGGUAGCGGGGGAUAACUAUUGGAAACGAUAGCUAAUACCGCAUAAUAUUAAUUAUUGCAUGAUAAUUAAUUGAAAGGUGCAAUUGCACCACUACCAGAUGGACCUGCGUUGUAUUAGCUAGUAGGUGAGGUAACGGCUCACCUAGGCGACGAUACAUAGCCGACCUGAGAGGGUGAUCGGCCACACUGGGACUGAGACACGGCCCAGACUACUAAGGGAGGCAGCAGUAGGGAAUCUUCGGCAAUGGACGAAAGUCUGACCGAGCAACGCCGCGUGAGUGAAGAAGGUUUUCGGAUCGUAAAGCUCUGUUGUAAGAGAAGAACGGGUGUGAGAGUGGAAAGUUCACACUGUGACGGUAUCUUACCAGAAAGGGACGGCUAACUACGUG